GCAUCAGCCAGGAGACAGACAGCUGUGCAUGUGUUCCUGGAGCAGCCUGUACACAGCCUGUGAGAUCCAGGGUGGGCAGAAAGGACCCUCUCCUCCAAAUACGCAGAAUCUGUGCUCUCAUUGCUGAUUCUG